GAAAUGCGAUAAGUAAUGUGAAUUGCAGAAUUCAGUGAAUCAUCGAAUCUUUGAACGCACCUUGCGCUCCUUGGUAUUCCUUGGAGCAUGCCUGUUUGAGUAUCGUGAAAUCUUCAAAGUAAAUCUUUUGUUAACUCAAUUGGUUUCUACUUUGGUAUUGGAGGUCUUUGCAGCUUCACACCUGCUCCUCUUUGUUCAUUAGCUGGAUCUCAGUGUUAUGCUUGGUUCCACUCGGCGUGAUAAGUUAUCUAUCGCUGAGGACACUGUAAAAGGUGGCCAAGGUAAAUGCAGAUGAACCGCUUCUAAUAGUCCAUUGACUUGGACAAUACUUUUAUGAUCUGAUCUCAAAUCAGGUAGGACUACCCGCUAAACUUAAGC
rnacentral:misc_RNA from 1 species